rnacentral:piRNA from 1 species
CUGCAGAUUGUUCUUGUAGCC